UCAUUUAAUAAAAUAUUAAAAUACUAAUUAAAAAGUCUAAUAAUUUUUAAAAUAAAUGAUCCAUUUCAUAUAUUUUAAAAUUUAUAUUAAGUUUUGUUAUAUGUUGAUUAAAAUUUUUGUUAAUCUAAUUAUCAAAUUCUAUUAAUCAAAAAUAAAAAAAAUUAUUUAAAAUUAUUUUUAAUAACUGACUGAAAUUUAAUUUGAUAGUCGAUUUAUUAAUUAGUUUUUAACCAAAUUUUAAACACGCUAUGGAUCUCAAACUUGCUCAAACAUAAAGGAUUACCCCUCAAAUUUCUUUUAUCACAAAAUUACUUAAACAUUAUUAUGCGUUCUUAUAAAACUGCCUUUUGGUACUGUUCUAAGCAUCAAAAUUACACAAAAACUAUGCCGCUGCUAUUAAGUAAUAAUGCGACUAAAAUAUUAGUAUAAAAAAAGAAGGUGGAAAAUUUACAUCCGAAUCUUUUAUUGUUAAUGAGAAAACAAAAUGAUGAUGCUAAAAAAAUUCGUAAAUUGUACAUUUUAAAUUUAAUGAUACUUCUUUGCCUUCGAUAAUAGUUAUGAACUCAGAACGGUGUGAACAAUAAUAGAAAUUAAAAUAAGUGGUACUCUUUGUCGCAAUACAAGAAAAUAUAAAAAAGCCAAGUUGAAUAGUUGCUGCAGCUCUAUGCAUCAUCACCAAAGUCUUUCAGUUGUACUUGGUUUAAUUAAAAAUAUAUAAUAAUAUGGAACAGAAAGCUUCUUCAAUCACUCAAAUCAUAAAACUAUAAGAUGGGAAGAUUGGAUCCCAUGUCACAGCUGCACUCUCACGGUCUCAACCAACCUUGUAAAUUAUUAUUAAUUAAUUAAUUAAAUUGUACAAAGAAGAAAAAAAACCCAGGGCAAUGGCAGUUUCGAAGUAAUGAAAAAAUAGUAGGGGUAGUAACGACAGAUGGUGGAAGUGGAGGUAACGUGGGACAGUUGAGAUAUAGUUAAGCCGGAGUCUAAAACUUUGACAAAUGGAGAACCUUCCCUGCCAGCCUGCCUGAUUCCGUAGGGAGAAGGGAAACUGCUUUUCCACAAUUUGUAAAAUUGCGAGGAGUAAAUUGGAAAGAAAAAGAAAAAUAUGUGCCCAUGAAUUCUAAUUUCACAUUUUUUUUUCGUACGGGCGUUUAUCUUCUUAUAAAAAAAAUUAGAAAGGAAAAGAAAAUGAAAAUUAAUUUCAUAAAAGAAGAAAAAAAAGAAACAUCAGAGAUUCCCACAAGCAAAUAAUGCUCACAUCCCCACCUGUACAGUGUGGAAAGAAAAGUAAGGUUUCGUGAGCCAAAUUGCGGCUGUGAUUUUUGCUGGCCCUUUUUCUUUUUUUGUUUUUCUUUUGUCGAGAGAGUCAAAGGAGUUUGCGUGUGGGUGAUAAAGAGGAUUUUAAGGAGUAAGGGAGAAAACGUCAAAGGCUGCAAUUAUUGUGUUUUGAGAAAAAAAUGUUAUUCAGUGGAAAUUGUCAUUGUGCUCUAUAUUCCUACACUAUAUUAAAAUUAUCCUUCUACGGAAUUCAUUUGCGGUCACGUUGUCGUUUUUGAACAAAUUUUCUCCUUUUUUUUUUUUAUAUGUUUCAAAAUUGUUUUUUUAAUAUUUAAAAUAUUUAUAUUUUAAAAUAAAAUUUUAAUAUUAAAUACAUUAAAAUUAAUAUUUUUUUCAAUGCCAUCAAAAUCAACAAGGACAAACAUAAAGAAACAUACUAGUAUUCUUUUUUAUUUAUCUUUUUACUUCAUCCACAAGUUUCAAUGUUAAUCAAGGCUCUAAUCUAUACUCUUAAAUAAUUACUUGAAAAGGAGGAGAAAACUUGCAAUACAAAUGUAGAGCAUUGAAACUUCAAAUACAAGUGAAAUGCUAGCAAGCAAAACAAAAUCUUGUCAGCAUAUAUAUAUAUAUAUAUAUUAAGCGAAUUUUACCUCAUCAAACCUAAAAAUAGUGACAUUAACCACUCAAGUUGGCUUUAAGUCAUACAAUUAAUUGAACAGAAAACAUCAUUCCCUAAUGUCUUUCUUUAAUUAUUAUGAUGAUAUGUUGUGACAAUAGGCAAAAAAAAAAAAAAAAAUGAUGUUAAAGGAUUAGUGCUUAAAAACCUUUAUGUCAAUCAUUUAUGUAUAAUGCCCUUUCUUUUCUUUAGGCAUAUCAUUUGCAAGUGCCUUAGAAAGAAAAAGUAUUGCUUUAUAAUAAUAAUAAUAAUAAUAAAACACUUAUUCCCUGAAUCCGAAUUCCGCAAAGCUACAUGAAUUAGAGAUGUAAAGUACUUUUGUUAAAAAAACAAGAAAAAGCCAUAAAGGUGAAUUCAUUGGUUGAUCUCAUCUCAUAUUGUCCCUGAUAAAUAUAAUACUAUAAAAUAAUAAGCAUAUACAACUUCUACAAGCAAUCAUGUAUAAAUAUCUUAUUAUUAAAUAAACUCCUAUAAAUUAAUGUAAGUGAUGCUUUAUAUAAUAUUUAUUUAAUAGCUGUGAUGCAUGCAUGACACAAGGAAAUGAUCAAAUUAAUAAAAAAAAAAAAAUCAAUUUCUAGAAACAAGCUGGGUGUAGAUAUUUCAAAAGUCACCAUAUACAUAGAUUUCUAAGUUGACUUGGGUAUUGUUUAAUGAUGCAGAUGCCUUUUACCGUGGAGAACUUUUUUCUAUGAGCACAUUUUCUUGAGUUUAAGGUAAAAUUGUCAAAUUAACUAUAUAUAUGGUUUGAAGCAAGACAUGAGAAUUUUAUGCGAUCAAACAUCAACAUGCAUGUGUCAUUGUUGAAAAAUAUAUAUGAAUUCUACAUCAAACAACAUAUAGGAAAGACAAAAGGCUUUUAGGAAGGUGUGAAACAUGAUUAAACAAGUUGAGUCUCAACCUCUCCAACUUUACUACGUAAGCUUUGAAAUAGACACGUGACAGUAAGGUUAAUUUGUGACUUCGGGUUCCAUCCAAUUUGGUAUCUGUCGGUUGCAGCCCAGCAACUUGCAAAUUGCGAACCCAAUUGAAAGGUGGAAGUUUGUUGGAAUAUUAUCUUGAGAUAUAAUUAGUUUUUUUUUUUUUUUUUUUCACAUAGUACAAUAAAUUGUUUUUUGUAUCUUCCGUGAUUAUGUAUAUAUAGCGAAGGCAAGCGAGUAUGAUCAUUUUUGAUUUGAUCAAAUUCAAUAUAUACAUAACCACAAGUUUUGGAUCAUAUCGAGUUUGUUCAUUUUCAAAUCAAUUUUAGAUUUUAUAUAAGAUAUAACCAUUUUAAUAUGUUUUUUGCAUUCUAAUUAGAUUAGAAUUUUUUUAUUUAACUUAGAUUGUUUCAAAUUCAAUUUUUUUUAAUUCAAAAAACUUCAAACUUGAAUAAUUUUUUAUUAGAGUUUUCUCUAAUUCAAUCGGAUUUGGAUUCAAUUUACCACUUCCAUUUUAGAAGGUAUGUUUUCUCCUCCACUUGAACUACCUCCAACAUAAACACAUGGUGAUUUUAGAGGAAAAAAAACUAUGUAACCUGAAAUUUCUUGAAUGAAUAUUUGACUUUAAUUUUGUACUGAACCACGCCUUAAAUUUCAUUUGAUUUACCGAGCAAAAUAUAUAUAUAUAUAUAUAUAUAUAUAUAUCGGCUUUCAAAAUGUAUUCGUUUCCGUUGUUUCAUCUUUCUGAUAACAAAAAAAGGCAGGUCUUACAUUUUAUUUUAAGAAAAGAUAGACAUUUAGCAUAAGCAUACUAAUUCUAAAAUCCUAUAGGUUUUCAUAUCCCACUUGUAUUAAUGAGGCAUGGAAAUGAAUUUUUUUUAAAAAAAAAAAAAACCUUGGGAAUUUCUGGAUGUUGGUUAAUUAAAUUAAUUAUCCCAAUUGUUUAUUUUACUUUGGGAAAUGAAAAAAAAAAAAAAUCCUAGAAGUAUCUGUCAAAUGAAUUAUGCAUGCAUGCUAAGCCCUUCUAUAGUUAGUGGCUUAAUUAAUCAAGCUAAUUUGUACGUAUAAAUGUUGUAUAAAGAGAUAUCUCUUUAUAAGAAGCAGUAGUUUUGAUAACUAAUCAAAGGAAAAACGAGUAGCUUUCAGCCUUUCACAAAUCCGAAUCUCAACGCUCCCAACUUGAACGAAACUUGCUCAAAAAAAGGUCGAUCAAAAUAACAACAUAGCCUGGGUGUCUCAGGGCAUGUGAACGAGCUGGGCCCCGCUCCCUUCCCACUCGUUAUCAUAUAUUAUGAAUACCCACCGUGAAGCUAAUUACUUUCUUUGUUUGAGUUGCUAUAUACAUUUAUUUAUUGCUACACCUAUACUUUAAUACUUUUAUCCCAUCCCAUGCCAUCCUUCUUAGCCAUUGCAUACUUUUAACUUAAAUUUCUUUUGCAUUGAAAUCAAAUUUCUUUCAAUUGGUGUUACAUUUAUUACCAAAUGAUUUGUUAUAUAUCUAAUUUAAAACCAAUUAAUUAUAGAUAGAUCAAUCUAAUUUACAUAAAAAAUUUAAUACUUAAUAGAUCGAUGGGAUGAUAACACUAAAAAGAUUCUUAUCACUUGUAGAUGGAAAUAAAAUCUUACUAGGUGACACUAAAAAAGUAUAACAAAUAAGAAUAACAGAAUAAAACUCAAUCUUUAAUAUCAUAUGAAAUAUUCAACUUAAAAUCAAUUUUAUUAUAGAUAAAAAGAUCUAUCUUGAAUAUGAAACUAUUAAAAAUCUAAAAUUUAACAUAUAUAUGAUAAUACCACUUGAUAAACUUAACAAACUUUAAUUUAGAACAUAUACUCAAGCAACAUUCAUGUGAGAUUGUCCCACAAAAAGGAUUAUGAUUCAUUAUCAAUUUUCUUUGUAAUCCUAUAAUGUUGUUGUGAUUUUUUUUUUUUUUAACUUCUUACAACAUUUUCCGGUUAUUUUAUUUUUGUCAACAAAUGUUUAUUUGGUAUUCUUGAUAUAUAAUUAAUUUAUAACCUGAUUGUAUGUGUAUAAAUUAUCAUUUUGCACAUCAUUAUUUGACUAUAUUUGGAUUAAAGUAAUUUAAAAUGUCACGUGAAAUUAAUUUUGAUAAAAUUGAUCAAUUGUAAAUAUACUUUAAUAAUAUUUUGCAUUAAUCUUUUUCUAAUAAUGGAUUGCUUUAAACAGUUGUUAUCAGUAAUAUGUAUUUAACGUUUUACUGGACAAGAGAAAGAAAAUUAUUAUUACUUGAGAAUAACUAGUCACUUGUUAGGGCUAUAUACACGAUAUCUUUUUUUUUUACUUUACACAUUCUUUUAUUACUUAUUAAAUUGUAAAGUCCUUUUUUUUUUUUAUAUAUCCGAACAUUUAAUUUAAUAAUUAAUUUAUAUUUUUCAUUGUUAGAAGAAAAGAAUUGGAUUGAAAUCUCCAUUCCUCUAAUAAUAAUAAAAAAAACAAAACAAAAAGAAGUAGUCCCCUUUGUUUUGGGCCAAGAGCGACAUUCCUUGGGCUCGAUAAUAACUGACUUUGCCCAGACUCGCCAAUGUAAGAGAAGAUGAAUCCAUCCUCUUUCUCCCUCUAUCAUGGGAAAUUUAUAGGCCUGGAAAUGCACAAAAAGAGAGACGAUUGUUUUUUACAAGGGACAGUUUUAAUCCAUUAAAAAACUUUUGACUGGAAAUCAAAACUUUCAUCUUCUUAAGAAUUUCUUAACUACUAAACAAAAGAGCUGAGUAUGAGAGGGGAUAUAUUCGUGAUAUGUAUUACGUUUAUUUGUACUUUUAAUAGGCCUUGUACAACCCAAAGUCUAUAAUGUCGUAUUGACUAAAAUUUCAAAGUCUAUAAUAUAUGCUUGGUCAGAGUAGUAAAUAGUGGGAAAGGAGAAAGCUAGUCCUAGAACCUCAACUCGCCUUCUUUCUUAAUUUCUUCCACCUAGUUAUCUAUCAAAAUAAUAGUAGAAAAAUUUUCUUCCAUUUUACUUUUUUGGUCAUUUCAAAUAUAUUUUUCUUAGUGAUUUCAUAAUCUAUACCUAAAAUGUAACUUUAGAUUUGUUAAAGCAGUAUUAUCUUAUCUCUAUUAAAUAUUUAAUUUUUUUAAUAAAUUUAUAUUCAAGUUAUAUCUCUUCAUCCAUUAUCAAUUAAUUUUAAAUUAGAUGUUUAAAUAUAAUAUCAAAACUUCUCUAUUUUAUUUCUAUCUAAAACCCUGUUUUGUUUUGAUUACAAAAAAGUCAUACCUUGAUUUAUAAGAAAUUUGUUGUAAAUAAAUUUUAAGAAAUUCAUUUCUUUUUAUGAAACUUAUUUGUGUCUCUUGGUCUCUUUAAUCUUCACUUUUUAAAAAAAAAAAAUUGGAGAGAAAGCAUCAAUUUAUAUGAAGAGCAAUUUUCAUUCUUUUUUUAAUAGAGUAAAUAACAUCUGUGUUUCUUAAAUUUGGAACACAUAUUAUUUUAAUCCCUAAAUUUCAAAAAAUAAUUUUUAUUGGUUAACUUUAUUGUUAAGUGUUAUUGUCAAGUAUUGUUAAGUGUUAACUUUAUUGUCAAGUAUUAUAAUGAAUUGACUCUUCUGUCGAUUUAUUGGUUAACUUUAUUGUUAAGUGUUUGAUGUGAUUUUGAAAAAAAAAAAAAAAUGAUGUCGCGUAGGAAAGGAAAGAAAAAAAAAUAAAAGAAAAAUGAAAAUGAAAUAAAAUAAAAUAAAAUAUAAAAUAAAAUAAUUUUUUUAAAAAAAUUAAUAUAUUUUAUCAAAUAUUGUAAUUUAAAAUAACUAAAUUUUGAAAUGUAUUAUUUUAAAAUAUUUUUUGAUUUUUUUUUCUUUAACAUAAUGUAGAUUUUUAACAUAGUUAUAAAUAUUAUAAUUUAAAUAAAUAAAAUUUUAAAUUUUCUAUUUUUAAAGAAGUCUUUUUAAUUUUCAAAUAUAAUAUAUAUUUUAAUAUGUUUUAUCAAAUAUUAUAAUUUAAAAUAAAUAAAUUUCAAAAAUUUGUAUUUGAAUAAGUUUUUCUAAUUUUUAAAUAUAAUACAGUUUUAAUAUAUUUUAUUUAAAUUAUAGUUUAAAAUAAAUAAAUUUAAAAAUUUUCUAUUUUUAAGAAAAUUUUGUUUUUGUUUUAAUUUUUACAUAUAAUAUAUUUGUAUAUUUUAUUUUUAAUAAUAAAGUUAAAAUAAAUAAAUUUCAAAAUUUUAUUUUAAUAAUAUAGUUUUAAUAUAUUUUUAUCAAAUUUUAUAGUCUAAGGUAAAUAAAUUUUAAAGCUUUUUAUUUUUUAUAAGUUUUCUUUUCUUUUUUUUUUUAAUUUUUAGAUGUAAUAAUUUAUAUAUAUAUUUAUAAUUUAAUAUAAAUAAAAUUUAAAUUUAAAAAGCUAGAUAAUACAUUAAUAGUGAAAAAUAAAUAAAAUUUAAAGUUUUCUAUUUUCUAUUUUUUAUUUUUAUAUAAAAAUAUUAAAUUAAAUACAAAAUUUCAAAUAAACUAAACACCAACGUGUUUGACAUGUGUUUAAAAUGUGGCGCUAACUAAUAUUUAAGGUCAGAUUUAACAAAAAUCUGGAUGAAAGUAGUAUUUGGAUACAACGUUAAAAGUUUGAAGACCAACAAAUAACAUUUGAAAGUAUAUGGAUAAAAAAGAUAUGCAAUUCAAAGUGUAAGGAUCACGCUGUAACAUGUUGAAUUAAUUUGAUUUGUCACCGUAAUGUAAUCACUCUCCAAAGUGGUUGCAAUCUCCUGAAUAAAACUUUCAAGUAUUUGAGAACGAAACCAGCAUAAAAAUGGUCACCAAAUCCUGAUAGGAUGAUGACAACCACGUUAGGGUUUGGUCAAGCACAUUAAGAGCUUUUGAGAAUUUGAUGAAGAAGUCGAGCGAAAACACGUUGCGCACAACAAUUUAAGAUCAAGUUAAAAGAGUAAAGAUUUCUGAGUUUUGUGAUUUUUUUUUUAGCUUUAAGCUGUUUUCAAAGAAAAGGAAAAAUAAAAAAAGAAAAAAUUGUUACGAUUUUUUAAUAAAAAAUCCCUAUCUCAAAAGUUUAUUAAAAAGCUGAAGGGAUUGGGAAUUUGAUCUUCUAUACAAUCGAACUAUGUUGGAUAGAUUCAAAGUCCAGAGUGCUAACCACCACAUGAUUGAAGCAAUGUCAAUCUAUAAUGUACAUUUUCAAAACCUAAACCCUAAACAUUGCACCAUAGAAGCAAUACUAAAAUAUUAUGUUUCCAAUAAUAAUCACAUCAUUACAAGAAGACGUCAUGUAAAAAUAGUUUGACUAAAUUAUAAGGGUUAAAAGCUGAUGCGAAGGUGAUAAUGAGAGAAAUAGGGAAGUUGUGUACGGAAAGAUUUUAGAUUGAUUGCAAUCAAAAUGCUUUCCACUUAAUUCAAAACAAGGUUUCCUUAAUUAUGCCAUGAAUAAAUGAGUAAAGUUUUGGGUUGAAAGCAAAGACAGAAUGAAUUGUUGAGGGAGGGAAAAUGCAUUUGGGCAUUUGCAGAAAUCAAGGCUGGAUUGAAGACCUCAUUUGUGGCAGGGCACGUAACUAAGUGACUUGUGCAUCUACACAUAUUUAGGUGCAAACUCGAUCCCUAGCUACCUACAACUCUAUCAUCACCACCAACUCCUCUAUCAUUCAUUUUUCAAAACUCCUUUUUUUACCUCUACUACUUACCAUCCUUCUCAAUCACCCUAAGCAUUCAUGCAACCCAUCAAUCCUGAUGUUUUGUUGGAAUUUUCACACUUACAAAUUAAUUAUUCCAAUCUUCAUAAUUCAAGCCCAACAAAAAUGAGGGUUGCAUGCAUGCUUAUGAGUAUAUAGAAUAUAUAUAUUUUAUGCCUACAUAACAUUACUUUCUUUUUAUUUUUUUCAGAGUUUAAGUAAAAAUCUUUAACAAAGAAAUACAACUUCCUUUACAAUCAGAACUGAAACAAAACCUUCUGAAUCUACAAACCACGAAAACACAAAAAACAGAACAAUUAUUAGUGUUUGAAGGAAUUUAAUUAAUUAAUAAAUGAUCAAGUAACUGUUCAUUUCCUUGAAUGAGUAUUUAUCUCAAAUGCAAAACUUACAUUAAAAAAAAAAAAAAUUCCAACAUUUACUGCACUUGUUUCUCAAGUUUCUUGCUUUAGGCUCUUUCUAUAAUCAAUUAUAGCUUAAAAAACGUGUUUGAAACCUUAAUUUUAUACAUUAUUUUAUAAUUAGUGAAUGUCAGUAAAAUACAAUAUAGAUACAGAUAACCAUUACUUUUUUUAAUUUUUCUUUUAGUCAGCUGAUCCAUGCAAAGAGAAAAGCUUACUAAAAAGAAAUUAAAGAAGAACAGGGACAUUCAAUCUUCAUUGAAUCCAGCAUAAGCUUCGCAUGUGGUCCAUGCUGUUUGAAUUAAUUCAACUUUUAAUUCACGUUUAUAUGGGUCAAACACGCAUUUAACUGGUGUGGACAGAGGACUCCAGAAGUUCAAAGUGUGCAGAAUUCCUCCGAAAUUGGUUAUGACAACUAAUUAAAAUUUUCUUCUCUCUUUUAUUUAUGACAACUAAUUAAACACUAAUUGCUCAUGUUUACAUUGCAUAAAAUGCUCCAAUUUCUAAGGGCAGCAGAGGUAGAGCCACAAGACAAGAUAAAAAAGUGAAAAAACCAUCAUGUUGUCCUGAUUUUUGCAUGGCUGAUGAUUACAUUAAGAUAUAAUUUUAUGAAAAAUAAAAAUAAAAGAAAAUAACCUAAGUGGGUUGAUGAUGCUGUUAAAUCAAACUUGGAGUUUUAAAUCAGAAUUUAUAGAUGCACUAAUCAUAAAAUAUGAAGAGGAAUCAAUUUAAAUUGUAUACAUAUGUGGAACUACUUAUUUUAAUGUAUUAUUAGUCGUUGAUUAUUGAAAUUUAUUAGUAAUUAGGCAAAAAGCAAAUCCAAAAAGGAAAGAAAGAUAAAAAGAAAUUUAAAAAAGAAAAGGACCAUCGAUUUGGACCCAGCAAUCCGUGAUAUAAGCUCCCCCUGAUUCCAAAACUUUGUUCGUCAUUAUCUUGGCUUACCCCACCAGAAAGCCAAUAAUGAUAUGCUUGUCAUUAUCGCAUGCCAAUAAUGAUGAGAUGAACUGGCUUGAGCUUGGUGAACGACGGGGAGGCAGCCACAAGUUUAGGCCAUCGUGGACCAAAAGUUUUUCGAGACUGGUUCGAUCAAACUAUAAUAUCUAUCCCCUUCCCCUCCCCUAGCCUGCUCACACGGUUCCCAGUUCAAUUAUAUGAGAGGAUAUGUCCAUCUCCAAAUCCUAAAACAAUAAAUAAUACAAAUGACGUGACCUUUUCGUUAAGCUGAUAUCAAGCAAUAACUCAUAUGAUAAUAAACAUGCGACAGAACCCCACGUUUGAUAUAUACCCCUCCUUUGCUAUGAUCCAUUUUUAAUCCCACAUUUUUCUUUUAUUUUUUCUAAAGGAAAUUUCGUUUUCAAAUUGAAGUCUCCAGCCAGCGGCCAUGAACCUAAUUAUUUCCUUAAGAUGCUAGCGGCCAUGAACCUAAUUGUUUAUUUUGCUGUAAAUUUUGCAGUUUAUUAUGUACUAAUUAAUUAAUACUAUAUCAUUAUCAUUUAUCACCCACCAAAUGAAUAGCUUAACUGGAAUUGGGAUGGAAUUAGGUUGGAAAAACUCAAUUCAUUUGGUGGGUGAUAAAUGAUAAUGAUAUAGUAUUAAUUAAUUAGUACAUAAUAAACUGCAAAAUUUACAGCAAAAUAAACAAGGCUUUUAAAGGAAAAUCAUGUAGCAGUCCAAGAAAUCCCAAGCAAUGAAAUACUUGUUGAUAUCCGUUUACGUAGAACCAUGAAUCUGGCCAGCUCUCUGAUUUCCACCUAUCAUUCCCAGACAAAUUCCAAACAUUUAAUACAUACAAAGGAACAAUACAAACAACAUUAUUUGUUUGCUGGUCAUAUUUUUUUGUCAUGUUUCAUUUUCCACCUCUCUCUCAUAUAACUGAAAAAAAAAAAAAAAAAAAAAAAAAAAAAAAAAACAAAGACUUGAAGGAGAAAAAGGUCAGAUUCUCCUAAUGCCGCACGAAACCCUUGCAUUGCACAGCAUCAAAACGCUACGCAAUCAAACAAAAGCAAAUUUAACAACCAACAAAAAGUUUUUUGAGAGAGGGUUUUAGGGCUGAAGCGGAUGAGCCCGCUCCAUUUUGUCUCUCUAUGUGUUUAUACUUUAGUCUAAUUAAGUUAAAUCAUCUUUAAUUAUUCACAUCCUCAAGACGAAAGAGAAACGGCUUUGAUGUUGUUUUUUCAUUACUUCACGUGAAUUAAAGCUUUUCGACGGACACCUUUUGCGGUCUAUUUGUAACGUAAAUUCUACUCUCUUGCUCAUGUGGUGCCACCCCGGCGCUUGGCGUCUCUCUCCUCCCUUGCUAUCUCACAUUUAUUUAAUUUUAAUUUAACUCAAAAGUGAAAUACAUGUAUAUUUAUCCUUAUCAAUAUCAUUUACACUCACUUAUAAAGCGUAAAAAUCAUAUUUGUGAAUGAGAAUGAUAAGUGUAAAAAAUAAUAUAAAAAGUAAUGAAAAUGAUUUUAAUUAUUUUUUUGUUAAUAGAGUAUUGGAUUUUUAGUUUCAAUUAUAAUUCAAUUGCUAAC
rnacentral:lncRNA from 1 species